rnacentral:lncRNA from 10 species
GAGAAGUAUGGUAAAAGCACCGGGUGUGCUGAUGCAUUGCAGUGGAUGUGAGUGAGUUCAGGGUACCACCUGGGUACUCUAGGCCCAGCACCUUCUACAGUGGCUCUGAAAGAGUCCAAGGCAGCCUCUGUCUGUUCCUAAGCUUUGUUCUUGUUUCUGGCAGCUUCUGACCUCUCCCCAGCAUAGAACAUGUCCCCUUUUUGUUAAUUUUCCCAAAGCACCACCGUGCCCGGCCGUGGUGUCUUGAGCUGAGUGCAGAAGCGCAAAUAGGGGGUAGGAGAAAAUGCACCGCGAGGAGAAAUGUGCUGCGGGCCUGCUGUCUAGCUGUGUCAUUUGGUCGUUGCGGGGCCCUGUGAGGCCGGGAGGGCUGCCAGCACCCACCAUGUGCCAGGCCUCGUUGCUAGUGCUGGGGCCAGUUCCUGCCCCGGUGGAGCUGCCACUGAAGGGGGAGGCGUAAUAAACAAGAUAGGUGAGUGCAUAUGCAGCGUGGUCUGUUGUGCUGAGGGCUGAAGAGAAACCAGAAGCAGGGCUCAGAGGCCAGGAGGACUCUGCAAAGGGAUUUGGCAUUAUCACAGGGUGGCCAGGGAAGAUCUUCAAGGUGACAGUGAGCAGAGGGAGGUGAGGGAGCCUGUGUGGACUUCAGGACUAGAGCUCCAGGCAGGGCCUGUUUGAGGAACAUGGAGGAGGCGAGAGCAAGGAGUAGAGGUCAAAAGGAGGCAAGAAGCAGGGGCGUAGGCCUAGGAGGACAUAGGUUCGCUUUGGCUUGGACUCAGAGAAGGGAAAUCCCCAGAGGGUUUUGAGAAGAGGAGGUACAGGAUGUAAUGGAGGCUUAAUAGGACCCUCUUGGCUGCUGAGUCGAGAACAGACUGGAGCAAGCAGGGACAGCCAAGCGAGGGGCGAGGUGACAGUGACUAUCAGGUCAAGGGUGGAAGUAGUUGCCAGGGGCAGGAGGCGGAUUCUGGACCUUGGAGGAGGUAAAGCCCACCAGAAUGUGUCGGUGGCUUGGAUGUGGGGUGUGAGAGGAACCAGAGAUUCUGCCUAGGUUUCUUCUUGGGCAAGUGAACACGUGGAGUCCACGUAGGCUGUGUUCGGUCCGAGAUGCCUUCUAGACAUGCAGGAUGUCAAGGAGGCAGCUGGAGAGAUGGGUCUGGAGCUCACAGCAAGUCCAGGCUAGAGGUAGAAACGUGAGAGCCCCACGGCUGGGGAAGAUUGCCAUGGGAUUGGAGAUGAGCUCCAAGGACAGCCCUGGCAGUCUGGAUGGAAGAGCUUGGGAAGAUGCUCAGAAACCACAAAGUGGCUGGUGCGGUGGGAGGAAAACCAGAGUGUAUGCUGUCCUAGAAGCAAAAGAAGAAAGUGUUUCAGUGUUUCUAGGAGCAGGAAGUGAUCAACAGCCUUAGAUCCUCCUUUUAGGCCAAGUAACAUGAGGACUAAGAAUUGACCACUGGAUUUAGCAAUGCAGAGGUCCUUGUGGCCCUUGAUGUCGGC